rnacentral:rRNA from 1 species
UACGUAGGGUGCAAGCGUUUGUCCGGAAUUAUUGGGCGUAAAGAGCUCGUAGGCGGUCUGUCACGUCGGCUGUGAAAACCCGAGGCUCAACCUCGGGCCUGCAGUCGAUACGGGCAGACUAGAGUUCGGUAGGGGAGACUGGAAUUCCUGGUGUAGCGGUGAAAUGCGCAGAUAUCAGGAGGAACACCGGGUGGCGAAGGCGGGUCUCUGGGCCGAUACUGACGCUGAGGAGCGAAAGCGUGGGGAGCAAACAGG